CAGGUAUGACCCGGGUCUCAGCGGGGUGAAGGGGCUAAAAGUGAUUUCUGUAAGAGGGGGGAAAAAAUUCACAUAGGGGCAUUCAAAUGAGUGGGAGGAUGCUUUAAUGAGGAUAAGAAGACCUUCUCCCUUCAAGGGACACGAAGUAGCCGAUGAAGUCGCAUACAAACGCUUCAAGAGGCGGAGCAUCCAUGGGCGCAGCAGAGGGGGUCCAGCUGCCAGUACACCGCUGCCCUCUAGGGGGCGCUGUGACUCUCUCUUUGAAUUUUACGCCUUCUGUCGGAGGCUGGAGCUCGAAUUUUCACGGAGAAAACACAUGCAAGAACACAAUGUCCUGCAAUAAGACAUGCAAGGUGCUGCACAAACUUCUGCAACACCUUCUGAUAAAGAUAAGAAAUAAUCUUAAAUGUGAUCACAAAAGUAAGAUGUCACCAAAAUUAGGAUUAAAAUUCCUGUUUGUGAAAAUAGUAUAGCAAAAAAAAAAAAGAUAUUAUUCUCACUUGUCCAUGACAAGCUUGCAAACUGUUCUUCUUAUUCAUUGGGUUGUAAGAUUGUAAGAUAUAUUUAAUUAUUUCACUGACAUUAAAGACAUGUUAAUGUUUUAUUUAAUAUUAUUUCAGUAUACUAUGGAAACGCAAACAAAAAAAAAACAUCAACAUGAAUGUGCACUGUAGAGAAAACAAAGGUUGCAUUGCACUGUGCAAUGAAAAUAAAAUAAACGUUUCACUGCAUUGUG